AGGGACUGGAGCGCGAUGGACCCUUCGCGAGUUGAUCGGAACGGGACGUCCAGAGCACUGCGGAACUGUCGAGGCUUUACCUCUAACUUUCAUGUUAAUUUACCAAAAUAUGAAUACAAUCAAGAGUUGUUAAUGUCAACAAACAUCAUACUGACGUUUUAUAUUGGGUAAAAAGGAUACAAUUCCAGUGUGCCUUGUUUGUGAUUGUUUUCAGUGCAGGGUGCAGCCACCGUGGUGAUUCUACUAUAAAUCAAUUGACACAUGAUGAGAUGAGAGGUCCGCACACAACUGUGAAUGGAGCGUUAACGGGAGAAGUCGGCACGCGCUUCUUGUUCACACACACCCAACGCUUGGACAAAGGCUAUGGGUACUCUGAGGGACCUGCAGUUUGCGCUGCAGCUGAAGAUCGAGGAGCUCCGUCAGAGAGACACUCUGAUAGAUGAGCUGGAGUUGGAGCUGGACACUAAAGAUGACCUCAUCAGACAGCUGCAGACUGAAUUGGACCGACACCGCAAAGCUCCACAACACCCAGGGACCACUGGGAGCACUGAGAACACAGGUAAGAGGUACCCAUACCAAACUAGUCAUGAAGUACAUUUGGAAAGUAUUCAGACCCCUUGACUUUUUCCACAUUUUGUUACUUAAAUUGUUUUCCCCCUCAUCAA